rnacentral:rRNA from 1 species
AUGCGUUGGCUUGUUACAGCUACGUCCAACAUGUACAAUCUCAGUCUGAAUGAACUUGGUACUGGAUUUAAACUUGAUGCCACGGAAGAGAUCACCCGCAAAAAGGAAAAGCGCCCGGCCAACUCCAAGCUGAUCAGCCACGGGAGAGGGCCAAGGCCUACGCAUGGAGGGCGUCAGUCAGACCAUUCGCUGAACAUGGCUCCGGACAGUAUUGGAAUGCGUCAGUUUCCAGCCGUUUCUCACCGUGGUUGCCCCGAUUACGUUCAGUCCACCAUUGCCAAAGUAGGUAUUGUCUGUCAGCAGUUUCUUCUCUUCUGCCAGCCGUAG